rnacentral:rRNA from 1 species
AUUGAACGCUGGCGGCAGGCCUAACACAUGCAAGUCGAACGAGUGGCGGACGGGUGAGUAAUGUCUGGGAACCUGCCUGAUGGAGGGGGAUAAAUCCUGAAAACAGUAGCUAAUACCGCAUACCAGUAGAUUUGCCAAGAGGGUAUUAGCUUUUUGGUGGGGUAACGGCUAACCAAGGCGACGAUCCAUAGCUGGUCUGAGAGGAUGACCAGCCACACUGGAACGGAGACACGGUCCAUCCUCCUACGGGAGGCAGCAGGGGGGAAUAUUGCACAAUGGGCGAAAGCCUGAGGCAGCCAUGCCGCGUGUAUGAAGAAGGCCUUCGGGUUGUAAAGUACUUUCAUCGGGGAGGCGGUACCCGCAGAAGAAGCACCGGCUAACGCCGUGCCAGCCGCCGCGGUAAUAC